rnacentral:rRNA from 1 species
CCUACGGGUGGCAGCAGUAGGGAAUAUUGCUCAAUGGGGGAAACCCUGAAGCAGCAACGCAGCGUGGAGGAUGAAGGUUUUCGGAUUGUAAACUCCUUUUGUUAGAGAAGAUACUGACGGUAUCUAACGAAUAAGCACCGGCUAACUCCGUGCCAGCAGCCGCGGUAAUACGGAGGGAGCAAGCGUUACUCGGAAUUACUGGGCGUAAAGAGCGCGUAGGCGGGAUAGCAAGUCAGAUGUGAAAGCCUAGGGCUUAACCAGAGAACUGCAUUUGAAACUGUUAUUCUUGAGUAUAGGAGAGGUAGGUGGAAUUCUUGGUGUAGGGGUAAAAUGCGUAGAGAUCAAGAGGAAUACUCAUUGCGAAGGCGACCUGCUGGAACGUAACUGACGCUGAUGCGCGAAAGCGUGGGGAGCAAACAGGAUUAGAUACCCUUGUAGUC